GAGAAAAUGCCGUUUUGGUAUGAGGCAACGUAGUGUUUCCGUUUGUCCACUGGCAUCACAUCGAUGUAACCACCCACAUCAUUCCUGAUGACUCCAGCGUGGACUGCUGCUCGGCAUAUACUGGACUUCUACAGAGGUAUGCAAGACGAAAGGUGAGGUCCUCUGUGGGGGGCUUGGUGGGGGCUGGGGCAGGGAGACUGGGAGGCUCGGGCUUGGAGGCCCUAGACCAGGGUUUCUGUGGAGCGCGGGGGGCCUCCGGCUCAAUGAAGUUGUUUUCUUCCGUUUCCUCUUGUGGAGGGUUGGAGCUGUCAUCUUCGAGUAAAGUCACAGAAACAAGUCCCCAGUUCAGUCCCAAAGCAACUCCAGCCCUUGUUGGCUCCCUCAGAAGGAGACAGCCAGCCUCUUCUUCAUGUAAAGAAAAGCUAGGUACGUAGCUCCUCCUAGAACGCCUAUCAACA